rfam:Sarcophilus harrisii ctg7180002007950, whole genome shotgun sequence.
AUUAAGAUGGCAGAGCCGGUAAUUGCAUAAAGCUUAAGCCUUUACUCCCAGAGGUUCAAACCCUCUUCUUAAUA